rnacentral:rRNA from 1 species
AUUGAACGCUGGCGGCAUGCUUUACACAUGCAAGUCGAACGGUAACAGGCCUUCGGGUGCUGACGAGUGGCGAACGGGUGCGUAAUGCAUCGGAACGUACCCAGAGGUUGGGGAUAACGCAGCGAAAGCUGUGCUAAUACCGCAUGUGAUCUGAGGAUGAAAGCGGGGGACCGAGCAGCAAUGUUUGGCCUCGCGCCUUUGGAGCGGCCGAUGUCGGAUUAGCUAGUUGGUGGGGUAAAGGCCUACCAAGGCGACGAUCCGUAGCUGGUCUGAGAGGACGACCAGCCACACUGGGACUGAGACACGGCCCAGACUCCUACGGGAGGCAGCAGUGGGGAAUUUUGGACAAUGGGCGCAAGCCUGAUCCAGCAAUGCCGCGUGCGGGAAGAAGGCCUUCGGGUUGUAAACCGCUUUUGGCAGGAACGAAACGGUGUCCGCUAAUACCGGGCGCUAAUGACGGUACCUGCAGAAUAAGCACCGGCUAACUACGUG